CCUCUGAAUAUGCUACCGCUAGAAGAUGAGCCUGCGUCUGAUUAGCUAGUUGGAGGGGUAACGGCCCACCAAGGCUUCGAUCAGUAGCCGGUCUGAGAGGAUGAACGGCCACACUGGGACUGAGACACGGCCCAGACUCCUACGGGAGGCAGCAGUGGGGAAUCUUCCGCAAUGGACGAAAGUCUGACGGAGCAACGCCGCGUGAGUGAAGAAGGUUUUCGGAUCGUAAAGCUCUUUCGUCAGGGACGAACGUAUUUCUUGUAAAUAAUGAGAGAUAGUGACGGUACCUGAAUAAGAAGCCACGGCUAACUACGUGCCAGCAGCCGCGGUAAUACGUAGGUGGCAAGCGUUGUCCGGAAUUAUUGGGCGUAAAGCGCGCGCAGGCGGAUAGUCAAGUCUGUCUUAAAAGUGCGAGGCUCAACCUCGUGAGGGGACAGAACUGGUAUUCUUGAGUGUCGGAGA
rnacentral:rRNA from 1 species